UGGCAAUGUAUGUUCCUGUACGUCCUGCUCCAUCACUGAAAUACAAAUUGAAAAGAUGGAACCAUAUAUUUCAUGCAAUUUUUAAAAUAAAGCACAUACAAUUCACAAUUGUCAUGUGGUGAGGCAAAAAACACCUUGAAUUUCAUUUUCUCGAAUAUUAUUUAUUUAUUCAUUUUGUCACACACAUAAAAGAUAUACAUUUGCAUAGAAAUAUAACAAAAACAAUAUGAACUAGAGGGCACUCAGAGACUGCAUACCUCCGCCCGUUACUCGGAAGUGAAACGCAACCUUGGAAUUUCCUAAGAAAUCCACUUUAUAAUUCUUAAGCAUAAAAGAUUUCAGGCCCCCGCGAGUUGAAAUCGAAUUGCUAAUAGAACAUAUUAAUGUUGUUGUACUGUACAGUACUUGUAAAAAAAAAACUUAUUAUGUGUCAUUAAAUAAAUGCAUAAAUUUUGCUUUAUGCACUCGCGCGUGCAGUAAUUUUCACAGUUGUGCUACUUUAAAUUCCCAGGCAGCUAAAAUCUUUUCUCUUUAAAACAAUGUCGAUUUCUUGGGAAAUUCCGAGGUUGCGUUCUUUUUAUACACC